rnacentral:rRNA from 1 species
AACGGAGGGGGCAAGCGUUUAUUCAUCCUUAUUGGGCGUAAAGGGUGUGUAGGUGAUGAAAAAUGUUUUUUAAAAAUCUCAAGUUUGUGUCUUGAGCUAAAUAAAACAUCGAAUUAUUUGAGAUUUAUUAGAGGUUGGCGGAAUUACUAAUGUAAAGGUAAAAUAUUACGAUCUUAGUACGAAUACCAAAGGCGAAGGCAGCUUUCCUAAAAAAUCUGACACUGAGGUACUAAAAGCAUGGGGGAUCAAAACAGG